rnacentral:rRNA from 1 species
AUUGAACGCUGGCGGCAGGCCUAACACAUGCAAGUCGAGCGGAUGAAGGGAGCUUGCUCCUGGAUUCAGCGGCGGACGGGUGAGUAAUGCCUAGGAAUCUGCCUGGUAGUGGGGGAUAACGUCCGGAAACGGGCGCUAUUACCGCAUACGUCCUGAGGGAGAAAGUGGGGGAUCUUCGGACCUCACGCUAUCAGAUGAGCCUAGGUCGGAUUAGCUAGUUGGUGGGGUAAAGGCCUACCAAGGCGACGAUCCGUAACUGGUCUGAGAGGAUGAUCAGUCACACUGGAACUGAGACACGGUCCAGACCCCUACGGGAGGCAGCAGUGGGGAAUAUUGGACAAUGGGCGAAAGCCUGAUCCAGCCAUGCCGCGUGUGUGAAGAAGGUCUUCGGAUUGUAAAGCACUUUAAGUUGGGAGGAAGGGCAGUAAGUUAAUACCUUGCUGUUUUGACGUUACCAACAGAAUAAGCACCGGCUAACUUCGUG